rnacentral:rRNA from 1 species
CAGCGCCACAAGUGGCAACCAUAGUUAUUGGGCCUAAAGCGUCCGUAGCCUGUUCUGUAAAUCUUCUGUGAAAUCGUUAAGCUCAACUUAACGGACUGCAGAAGAGACUACAGGGCUUGGGACCGGAAGGAGUCAGAAGUAUUUCUGGGGGAGCGGUAAAAUGUUAUAAUCCCAGAAAGACUACCUGUGGCGAAGGCGUCUGACUAGUACGGAUUCGACGGUGAGGGACGAAAGCUAGGGGAGCAAUCUGGAUUAGAUACCCGAGUAGUCC